UACGUAGGGGGCAAGCGUUGUCCGGAUUUAUUGGGCGUAAAGAGCGUGUAGGCGGCCAGAUAGGUCCGUUGUGAAAACUCGAGGCUCAACCUCGAGACGCCGGUGGAAACCGUAAAGCUAGAGUCCGGAAGAGGAGAGUGGAAUUCCUGGUGUAGCGGUGAAAUGCGCAGAUAUCAGGAAGAACACCCGUGGCUAAGGCGGCUCUCUAGUACGGUACUGACGCUGAGACGCGAAAGCGUGGGGAGCGAACAGG
rnacentral:rRNA from 1 species